CGCCUUUCUAUACCAAUGCCCCGCGUUUUUAAAGACGAAAAUGAAGAAAGACGAAGUUGCAGAAAGAGUGAAGGAAAGGGACUCCUCCGUUCUUUCUUGGAGAUCUCAUUAAUCGGAUAUCGAAUCCUAAAAGCUACGGGCAAUCGAUUCUGUUCUCUCUCCUAUUCACUUAUUUUGUUCUUGAUUGACUCGUUCAUCAACAUAUUCUAGGUUUUUCCAUCUAGUUGUCCAAUUCGCUGCAUUUUGUUUGAUUUCCGAUGCUCGAGAUUAUUGAUUUUCGUUUUGUUCUGAAAAAUUUUGUGUAGUUUUUUUCGGAUCUCGGCUGCGGAUCUAAAUUUCCGUGAUGAUGAUAUCUCUGGUUGUCUCAUCGAUAGAAGCUAGAAACUCUUCGCGGAGCAUAUGAACUAGAAGGUUUACUCUGUGGUUCAAUACAAUAGAAUUAUGGCUUCCAUUCGAAGACCUCUAUCACCUGCUCAUCACAGUCGUUCUUAUCAAAGCGGAGGCAGUCCAUUUGAGGUUCAUUCUCCGACUCAUAAGUUUCUUUCCGGUUCGAAUUACUCGUCGAAUUCGCCAUAUUAUGCAGUGUUGGCCGUUGGAUUUCGCCGAUUUCUGGAGGGGAUUUUCUUGCCGAAAUACUCACGCAAGAGUUACCAGCGAUGGAAGCGGUUCAUGUAUCUAUUAUUGCUGUGUUUUGUUCUAGGUUUCGGGUUAGGGCUCACGCCGUUUGGUGAUGUCGAUGACAUUAGAGGACAUGACUUACCGUAUGUGAUCAAGCUAUCCACUUUAAACGUGCAACAGGGCGUUGGUGAUACUGUUGGGGAGGAGAAGGUUGUGCUGGAGACGGUGCACAAAGAUCUUGAGAAGGUUGUGCUGGAGACGGUAAACCAAGGUCUUGAGACCAAGUCUGAAAUAGACCCAGUCGAUCUUAUCCCGCGGAAGCAGUUAAUAAUCGUAACUCCGACAUACAAUCGGCCUCUCCAAGCAUUCUAUCUCAAUCGCUUGGGUCAGGUACUAAGACUUGUUCGGCCGCCUCUUCUGUGGAUUGUGGUGGAGAUGAACUCAGCUUCAAAGGAAACUGCAGAAAUUCUUGGGAAUGCUGGUGUCAUGUAUAGGCAUCUUUUGUGCUCGAAGAAUAUGACAGACAUAAAGGAUAGAGGUGUUCACCAACGAAACAGGGCUCUCGAGCACAUUGAACUCCAUCGUCUAGACGGGAUUGUCUACUUCGCAGAUGAUGAUAACAUCUAUUCUCUUGAAAUGUUUGAAAGCAUGAGAGAAAUCAGACGCUUUGGCACUUGGCCUGUUGCUAUGCUUGCUCAGAGCAAAAACAAGGCCAUACUGGAAGGUCCAGUAUGUAAUGGGAGUCAAAUAAUUGGAUGGCACACUAAUGAGAAGAGUAAGAGACUGAGAAGGUUUCAUGUUGAUAUGUCAGGAUUUGCAUUCAACAGCACCAUCCUAUGGGAUCCCAAGAGAUGGCAACGCCCCAUUUCAGAACCUAUAAGGCAGUCAGACACGGUGAAGGAGGGAUUUCAAGAGACUGUGUUCAUAGAGCAGGUGGUGGAAGACGAGAGUCAAAUGGAAGCCAUAUCUCUUGGCUGUUCAAGAGUGAUGAAUUGGCAUCUCCAUCUGGAAUCUCAUAGUCAUGUUUAUCCUAAGGGUUGGGUGCUUCAGAAGAACCUUGAUGUUGAUGUUCUCAAGUGAUGAACUACAACCGUAUGAGAUACACAGAGACAGUGUCCAGAAAUGUGGAGUAUUCCAAUGGGUAACAUAAAAAAUCAGGGGUUUAUAAUGGAAAACGAGCGUGGGUUUCGUUUGCCUUGCUUUUGUUGGAACAUUCUGAUAAACUGACAGCUAAUGCUUUGUUCACAUUGAAAUUUCUCGGCUCCCUCAUUUCUCUGCUGAGGAUCAGUACCAAAUUCACUGUCAGCCAGCAACCUUGGUAUAUACAAAUAUACAAGCACUGGAAGUCGCCCAAACCUAACUGGACAGCAGUGAUUUCCAACAACAACAAUUCAUCUGCCUAACAUUCUUUUGCAGGAAGCAGCACUCAAAUCUUCUUGUAAAGUUGAUAUUGUCCACAGGUGGCACACAUCCAAAUAUAUUGUCUCAGUUGUGGAAUGUGUUUAUUUGUAUCUCUACCAUGUGUAUCAAAAUCAAGAAACCCCACUAUAGUAUUGGUUUUACAAAAUUUAUUUCACGAAAUUGCUUCAGUGUUAAUUUAUUGUUUCAUGAAAUUACUUCAGUGCAAUAGUGUUUUUUAUUUUUUUUGGCACUGUGGGUAAUGGCCCCAACUUAAAUGCCUCUGGUGAUUUGGAAUUGGCCCCUUCUGGAAAUUACUAUAAUCGGAUGUUCUUGAUUGCGUUGACUUUA